CCCAUCUCGGGGUCACAUCUGGAGAGUUUCCACUACUCUACCAGUCUCAACUAUGGGAGGGAGUGUCAAGUAGAGCUAUAUCCAUUCCAUUCCUAGCUUGGGCAAUGGCUAGUGAGUGGAAGACGAUCUGCUACAAGU